rnacentral:rRNA from 1 species
UACGUAGGCAGCAAGCGUUGUUCGGAAUUACUGGGCGUAAAGAGUGUGUAGGCGGUGCUCUAAGUUCGGUGUGAAAUCUCCCGGCUUAACUGGGAGGGUGCGCCGGAAACUGGAGUGCUUGAGCGCGGGAGAGGAAAGCGGAAUUCCUGGUGUAGCGGUGAAAUGCGUAGAUAUCAGGAGGAACACCUGUGGUGUAGACGGCCUUCUGGACCGUAGCUGACGCUGAGACACGAAAGCGUGGGUAGCAAACAGG